UCCUUAGCGGCCGCCCGAGGCGUCGCGGGGCGAUGCCGGCCGGCCGCUUACGCCCAUAAUUCCUCCGUUAGCUCCUCGUAUUUUUCCAUCAUAAACUCGAACAAAAAUCCCAAAAUUUAUUUAGCACGUAAUUGAAUUAUCGCGACUAUUUCCCUUUGUUAAGAAAAAUUAUAUGUUUUCUGGACUUGGGAUAAAUUAUUCAUACUUCAAUAUUAUUUCAAAAUUAAUUAAAUAAUUCCCCACAGUUAAUUUAAUUAUCAACACAAAUAUUUAUUUAAUUAUAGGUCCAAACUAAAAUUAGUGUUCUAUACCUUACUAAUUAUUCUACAAAAACUAUAACAACUUGGAUCAUAACAAAACAUUUUAUCUUACUUAACCAUUUUGAUCUAAGCCCAUAAUUAAUUAAAAUAAAAUUUGGGCUUCCUUCUACUAUACACUGAAGUCCCAAAUAUUUAACAACAGUUGGGCUUGAAUUUUAAAAAAUUUCGCCUGGCCCAAUUGAUCAAAUCCUGAGUCCAAAUAAGAAACCCCCAUUCAAAUAGCCUAUGUCUUCUUUUUCCUCCCUCAUUCACCAAAAAUGCACAGCCUCCCCCUUUCACCUUCCUCACUGCCGCCGCACACCAUACUCACCGCCGCCGCCAGUCGUCGCCAUCCUCGGCGCCACCGCCCGCCGCCGACUCCUCUCUCUUCUCCCCCCUCUCUCUCUUCUCUCUCUCGGCUAUGCUCACGCUGCCGCCACCGCCGUUUCUGUUGUACGAGCGGCGGCUCGCCGUCGCGGCCCUCCACCUCCCUCUCUCGAUUUCCACCGUCAUCACAUCACCGCUGCUCCACCACCUCAGCCCCCCCUUUCUCCCGAAUCUGCCGCCGCCGCCGCUGUGCAUGCACAGGCGGCGGCCCCGCCGCUUCUUCUACACGCCUCGCGCUGCCGGAGCAGCUCCCCGAAGCCACCACAGUCGCCGCCUCCUCGCCGGAUUUCCGAAAGGUUGUGAAAUUAGUGACGUAUCGGGGUGUGGGGCUGUCCUCGUCGUCUCCCGGCUGCCAAAUACCCAUUGCCGGAAAUCCGGCAGAUUCUUAUUCUAGAGAUAAGUUCCUAAAUUGUGCUUACUGUAGUUGUAGAACUUAUGUUAUCUAUUUUAUGAAUUAGAUGAAUUUGAACAAAUGUCUAGCUACUAAAAGGACUUGAUGGUAAAAUCAUGUUGAACUUCUGUUUGUUGUUAAUUUCAGUUAGGCUGAUUCUAUUUUCAAAUUAUACAUGCAUGCUUGUACCUAUACGAAGGAAAAGAAAGGCUUCAGUUUUACCUUGGGAAUAAAGUGAUGAUGGAUUGUUGGGUUGGACUCCAUAAUUUUCUGCACUGCAAUAUCCCAUCUCUUGCUCCUAAUCUCCCAUUCGAAAUAUGUGUGUGUAGAGAAGUUUUGGGAUGUUUGAUAGUGAUGGGUACUUGAAAGUGCAAAUACGUGGGGGAGGGGGGGGGGAUUUAUAUACUUGUUCAUUUGCAAGUUGCUAUGCAAGUUGUGGGGAGUUUAAACUUGGGGAAGGUUUAACAUGGGGAAGGUUUACAUGGGGAAGGUUUAAACUUGGGGAAGUUUACUGCCUAAAAUCUUUUCAAAGAUUGUGUUUGGAUUUGGGAUAAAUCUCAUCCGUCUAUUAAUUCUACUCAUUUCUACUAUUGGAUUUCAUUUGAUUUUUCCUAAGUAUAUACAUGUAGAUUUCAUUUAUAACUAAUGUAUCUCACUCUCUCUAACUUUCUUCUUAUGUAGGAAAGAAAAUCUCUAUGUAGGGAACAUGGGUGAUACAUCGGGCUUCCUUGGAAAAUACUACAACCAUCGAACUGGUUAUUCGACACUCGCACAUUUCUCCCCAAUUGAUUUAGAUUAGGAUUCGAUAAAUUGGUAUCAGUAGACUUUUUCGAACUUCCGAUGGAUAUGUCGGACAUUAACAACUUUUAUUUUGGAUUUA